CUACGUGCCAGCAGCCGCGGUAAUACGGAAGGUUCUGGCGUUAUCCGGAUUUAUUGGGUUUAAAGGGAGCGUAGGCUGUUUUUUAAGCGUGUUGUGAAAUGUACCGGCUCAACCGGUGAUGUGCAGCGCGAACUGGAAGACUUGAGUGUGUUGUAAGUAGGCGGAAUUCGUGGUGUAGCGGUGAAAUGCUUAGAUAUCACGAGGAACUCCGAUUGCGUAGGCAGCUUACUGUCUCACUACUGACGCUGAUGCUCGAAAGCGCGGGUAUCGAACAGGAUUAGAUACCCUGGUAGUCCGCGCGGUAAACGAUGGAUGCUCGUUGUUGGUAUUUAUAUAUCAGUGACUUAGCGAAAGCGUUAAGCAUCCCACCUGGGGAGUACGCCGGCAACGGUGAAACUCAAAGGAAUUGACGGGGGCCCGCACAAGCGGAGGAACAUGUGGUUUAAUUCGAUGAUACGCGAGGAACCUUACCCGGGCUUGAACUGCCGGCGAACGAUUCAGAGA
rnacentral:rRNA from 1 species